rnacentral:rRNA from 1 species
UACGUAGGUGGCAAGCGUUGUCCGGAUUUACUGGGCGUAAAGAGCGCGCAGGCGGUCGGUCAAGUCGCGUGUGAAAGCCCCCGGCUCAACUGGGGAGGGUCACGCGAUACUGAUCGACUCGAAGGCAGGAGAGGGAAGUGGAAUUCCCGGUGUAGUGGUGAAAUGCGUAGAUAUCGGGAGGAACACCAGUGGCGAAGGCGACUUACUGGACUGUAACUGACGCUGAGGCAUGAAAGCGUGGGGAGCAAACAGG